rnacentral:rRNA from 1 species
UGCCAGACUCCUACGGGAGGCAGCAGUGGGGAAUAUUGGGCAAUGGGCGAAAGCCUGACCCAGCAAUGCCGCGUGAAUGAAGAAGGUCUUAGGAUUGUAAAAUUCUGUCCUAUGGGAAGAAACAAAUGACGGUACCAUAGGAGGAAGCCCCGGCUAACUACGUGCCAGCAGCCGCGGUAAUACGUAGGGGGCGAGCGUUGUCCGGAAUUACUGGGUGUAAAGGGAGCGCAGGCGGCCUUGCAAGUCUGAUGUGAAAGGCCGGGGCCCAACCCCGGGACUGCAUUGGAAACUGCGAGGCUGGAGUGUCGGAGAGGCAGGCGGAAUUCCUAGUGUAGCGGUGAAAUGCGUAGAUAUUAGGAGGAACACCAGUGGCGAAGGCGGCCUGCUGGACGAUGACUGACGCUGAGGCUCGAAAGCGUGGGGAGCAAACAGGAUUAGAUACCCGAGUA